rnacentral:tRNA from 1 species
AGGGGUGUAGCUCUAACUGGCAGAGCAGCGGAUUCCAAAUCCGCGUGUUGGGAGUUCGAAUCUCUCCACCCCUG